rnacentral:rRNA from 1 species
ACGGAAGGCAGCAGUGAGGAAUAUUGGACAAUGGGGGCAACCCUGAUCCAGCCAAACCGCGUGAGGGAUGAAGGUCCUACGGAUCGUAAACCUCUUUUAUGUGGGAAUAAUUGCCGGUAUGUAUACUGGUUUGAAGGUACCACUUGAAUAAGCAUCGGCUAACUCCGUGCCAGCAGCCGCGGUAAUACGGAGGAUGCAGGCGUUAUCCGGAUUUAUUAGGUUUAAAGGGUGCGCAGGCGGGACAUUAAGUCGGCGGUGAAAUACCGUGGCCCAACCACGGGGCUGCCGUCGAUACUGAUGACCUAGAGUGCGUGUGACGUAGGCGGAAUGUGACGUGUAGCGGUGAAAUGCUUAGAUAUGUUGCAGAACUCCGAUUGCGAAGGCAGCUGUCCAGAGACGAACUGACGCUGAGGCACGAAAGCAUGGGUAUCAAACAGGAUUAGAUACCCUGGUA